rnacentral:rRNA from 1 species
UACGAAGGGGGCGAGCGUUGUUCGGAAUCACUGGGCGUAAAGAGUGCGUAGGCGGUUAUGAAAGUUAGGAGUGAAAGCCCAGGGCUCAACCUUGGAAUUGCUCUUAAAACUACAUAACUCGAAUUCGGGAGAGGAUAGCGGAAUUGUCAGUGUAGCAGUGAAAUGCGUAGAUAUUGACAGGAACACCGGUGGCGUAAGCGGCUAUCUGGACCGACAUUGACGCUGAGGCACGAAAGCGUGGGGAGUCAAACAGGA